UCGAAACCUGCCCAGCAGAGCGACCCGUGAACACGUUCAACMUCAUGGGUGUUGGGCCGUUGCUCGGCGCCUCGUGUGUCGGCUCGUCCCUCUCCCAAGCCGGGGGAGAGCUCACUUGUGGGCUGUUACYCGGCAAAACAACGAACCCCGGCGCGUAAUGCGUCAAGGAYUACAAACUUUAUGUGUGCACUCUCCCAUUGCCCGGUUAGCCGGGCGUCGGAGCGGUGCCAUGUCUUAACAAUA
rnacentral:rRNA from 1 species